AGGCAGCUCACUGGACUGCAACUGACACUGAUGCUCGAAAGUGUGGGUAUCAAACAGGAUUAGAUACCCUGGUAGUCCACACAGUAAACGAUGANNACUCGCUGUUUGCGAUAUACAGUAAGCGGCCAAGCGAAAGCAUUAAGUAUUCCACCUGGGGAGUACGCCGGCAACGGUGAAACUCAAAGGAAUUGACGGGGGCCCGCACAAGCGGAGGAACAUGUGGUUUAAUUCGAUGAUACGCGAGGAACCUUACCCGGGCUUAAAUUGCAGUGGAAUGAUGUGGAAACAUGUCAGUGAGCAAUCACCGCUGUGAAGGUGCUGCAUGGUUGUCGUCAGCUCGUGCCGUGAGGUGUCGGCUUAAGUGCCAUAACGAGCGCAACCCUUAUCUUUAGUUACUAACAGGUUAUGCUGAGGACUCUAGAGAGACUGCCGUCGUAAGAUGUGAGGAAGGUGGGGAUGACGUCAAAUCAGCACGGCCCUUACGUCCGGGGCUACACACGUGUUACAAUGGGGGGUACAGAAGGCAGCUAACGGGUGACCGUAUGCUAAUCCCAAAAGCCUCUCUCAGUUCGGAUCGAAGUCUGCAACCCGACUUCGUGAAGCUGGAUUCGCUAGUAAUCGCGCAUCAGCCACGGCGCGGUGAAUACGUUCCCGGGCCUUGUACACACCGCCCGUCAAGCCAUGGGAGCCGGGGGUACCUGAAGUACGUAACCACAAGGAUCGUCCUAGGGUAAAACUGGUGACUGGGGCUAAGUCGUAACAAGGUAACCA
rnacentral:rRNA from 1 species